CAUCCCGGAACUUGCUAUUCCUCUGCUUCGCCAUCGCAAUUGACAGUAACGGCACAUUCAUAGGGGCUGAUUGGUUCAGCUUCCUCGCAUCAGGAACAGACUGCGAAGCGUACUCUUUCUCAGCCUGAUGCGGCCUCGGUAUCAUCGGAAUUGACUUCGAAGACGAAGGAAUUGAAGGCUUGCGAUAGAGGAUAGAGUGGUAAUUAGAGUCCGGCAAAGCCGCGAGAAUCCCGGAGUUUCGAGAGAAAGAUUUGCCGCGGUUGUUGUGGUUAAUGCUUUCUUUGGCAGUUGUGGGGUGAGCGGGGCUUUGUUCGGUGUAGUCAUUGGUCCAGAGAACGUCAUCCUCAUUCAGCUCAUCUUCGUUACCGUUUUCUUCGACGGCGGAGGGGGAGAUGUUAAGGAAGCGGUGGCGAAAGGUGGGGUCCAUGUAAAAGUAGGAAGAUGAUGCGGCGGAGAGUCGCGGAUCGUAGUGGAA
rnacentral:misc_RNA from 1 species